rnacentral:tRNA from 1 species
AGGCGGGUAGCUCAGCGGUAGAGCGCCCGUAUUACAUGCGGGAGGUCGCUGGUUCAAAUCCAGCCCCGCCUA